AGCAUUUUCAGGACACCCAGCGAAUCCACUCAGCAGGAGAGCAGGAGACUACACGGACAAAGGUCAGGAUUCACCUUAUUAGAGGAACCGGAGCCCUUGAGGGUUGAAACAAAAGAGAACUACAAUAUUUAAACUGAAAAUGGAAAAUCCUGCAGUGGGUAGUGGACUACACCAAUGGAUUCCUGGCACUGUCUAUCAGUCCCUUGUAACACUGUCGUGUUACACCACCAUCAACAGCAAAGAACUGCUGCCACUUCCAAUCACACCGCAGACAGCAAGAGGACACAGUUUGCACUUGGUUAAAAAGCAAACCAACAUAAAAAAAAAGGACCCGCAGGAAAAUUAACCAACAACUAAAUCGGUCCUUGUUAAAUUAUGAGUUUUGCAGGCAGCUUUCCUGCAGCAAGCCCCUUCGACAUACAGACCGUGGGCUGGGCCACAUCUGAACUAGCAGAGUGCAUCCAGCUGGCAGAGUACAUCAGGCAGCUGUUGACGAGGAAGAAAAAGUAAUUUGCAGCUUUCUGUCUGUUCCCAGGAUUGUCACUGCUGGUGAGAAAGCAUCCUGCUGCAAACACAAAGCUGUCACCAUUGAAAUGACACACCUUACACACUGAAAUGUCCUACACUGAAAUGUCCUUUUACUUUUUACUUGAGCACUUGAAUUACUUUGCAUAUGUGCGAUGGAUAAUCAUCUCCUGAAUAAAGAAAAUGUGGUGUUGACAUUUCA